GACGAACGCUGGCGGCGUGCUUAACACAUGCAAGUCGAACGAUGAAGUCGGAGCUUGCUCCGGUGGAUUAGUGGCGAACGGGUGAGUAACACGUGAGCAAUCUGCCCUUGACUCUGGGAUAACUGCGGGAAACUGUAGCUAAUACCGGAUACGACACCUUGGGGCAUCCCAGGGUGUGGAAAGAAUUUCGGUCAAGGAUGAGCUCGCGGCCUAUCAGCUAGUUGGUGAGGUAAUGGCUCACCAAGGCGACGACGGGUAGCCGGCCUGAGAGGGUGACCGGCCACACUGGAACUGAGACACGGUCCAGACUCCUACGGGAGGCAGCAGUGGGGAAUAUUGCACAAUGGGCGAAAGCCUGAUGCAGCAACGCCGCGUGAGGGAUGAAGGCCUUCGGGUUGUAAACCUCUUUUAGCAGGGAAGAAGCGAAAGUGACGGUACCUGCAGAAAAAGCUCCGGCUAACUACGUGCCAGCCACCGCCGUAA
rnacentral:rRNA from 1 species